AAGGAUCAUUAUCACGUAUCCACGUAUAAACCAAACGCGAACUGUCUGACCUUCAGAAAGCAAUCUAACGCUGGAUGUUCAUCAAAGUCCGUUGUUGUGUGGUUUGGACUUGAACAUCUGCUGUGUGUGCUGUCUUCGGACUCACUCCGACUGCUAUGCCUUCUGAAGCGUAUUUUAACCCACUUUUAAUUCUUUUAUUAACCACUUAAACCAAUCGUUUUUCUUUGUUUGAACUGAAUUGUUUCUUACUCUGUCUUUUGGUCUUCGGGCCGAAGCAGAGAAGAAAUCUUUUACGAAACAUAAGAACAACUCUUAGCAACGGAUAUCUUGGUUCUC
rnacentral:misc_RNA from 1 species